ACGGUGGAUCACUUGGCUCGUGGGUCGAUGAAGAACGCAGCUAAUUGCGCGUCAACUUUGUUGAACUGCAGGACACAUGAACAUCGACAUUUCGAACGCACAUUGCGGUCCACAAUGGGAUAAAUUCCCGGUACCACGCCUGGCUGAGGG
rnacentral:rRNA from 1 species